rnacentral:rRNA from 1 species
CGAAGCUGGAUUCGCUAGUAAUCGCGCAUCAGCCAUGGCGCGGUGAAUACGUUCCCGGGCCUUGUACACACCGCCCGUCAAGCCAUGAAAGCCGGGGGCGCCUGAAGUCCGUGACCGCGAGGGUCGGCCUAGGGUGAAACCGGUGAUUGGGGCUAAGUCGUAACAAGGUACC